AAAAAUUUUUAAUUUAUUGAUUUUUAAUUGCUAAAUAUGAUUAAAAUAUUAUUUAGAAAGAUAAUAAUGGCAAAGACCAAGAAUUAAUGAAUUUGGUGCAUCUAAUAUAAGCUCGAGCUCAUAUGAGAAUGGGUUUAAUUACCAUUAGAUUAAAUAUUUGUAUAGAGAUAUGUGUAGAAUUAAUUAAAGUGUAUAUAUAGAGUGCACAAAUCUAUGUGCAAAAAUUCAAUCUAACGGUAGAUAAACGUACCAAAUGAAUUUACUUUAAAACAUACAAAGAUAGGAAAAUAUUUAAUGUUUUUAUGGGAAAGCUCAUAAUUUAAUGCUAAAACAAGCACAAUAAUUGCUUAGGGCACUUUUAACGGCAUAUCCUUUAAAAUAUAAUGGAGAAAUUAGGGUGCAUCUUGUGGUGUUUUGAAUAAUAAGGAAAUUGUAUUUAGAUGUAUAUGAUAUCAUACCAGUGUAUGAAGAUAAUAAAAACAAAUAGUAUCAUUAUCCUAACACCCCCUCAAGCUGAUGACGAAAGGGAUUGAGAAUUCAGCUUGUUGUAGUGCUUUUCAAACCUCUCAACCCAAAGGUUUGGUCAUAAUAUCAUCAAUUUCAUCUUCUGAAUUGAUGAAUUGAACUUGCACAUUGCCAAUUUUGGACUUGCUCAUGGAUAAAAUGAUAGUCAAGUUCAAUGUGCUGAGUGCGAGCAUGAAAGAUCGGGUUUGCACUUAAGUAAAUGGAUCCUAUGUUAUCACACCAAAUGAUUGCAGGUUUCAGUGUGGGAAAACCAAGUUCCAACAGUAAAGAUUUAAUCCAAAUCAAUUCUGCUAUAGCAUUAGCUAUUUCCUUAUACUCGCUUUCAAUUGAUGACCUUGCUAUUGUUGGUUGUUUCUUGGUAGCCCAUGAAAUAAGAUUUUUACCUGGGUACGCCACAUACCCACUCGUUGAUCACCGGUCAUUUGGACAUCUUCCCUAAUCACUCUCUGAGUAGCAUAUUAAGUCACUUGGUGAAUAUUUGCAAAAAAAAUUACCUGGCUACUUAUAUGUCAAAAAUAGCGCAAGAGGCGCUUAAUAGCUUGCCAACGCUCGGUGGUAGGUUGAUGCAAAAAUUGACAUAGUUUGUUAAUGGAGAAUGCAUUAUUUAGUCAAGUAUUAGAUACUAUAAGGCACCAACCAUUUGUCGAUACAAUUCACCAUUUUCAAAAGGUUUGCUACCUAUCUUCGUUAAAGAAGGAGCUGUAGCCGUUGGUGUUAAACAGGACUUGCAGGAUGCCAUUUGAGUAUGCUCCAAAAGGUCUGUAAUAUAUUUAUGUUGUGAUAGCAAUAACUCGGAUGGCAAUUGUUUUGCUUCAAUUCCCAGAAAAUAUUUUAAUGGCUCUAGAUCACAAUUUGGGAAUGCACCUUUUAGCUUGCAUAGGAACCAUUCAAGUUUGUUGCCAUUUGAACAUAUAACUAAAAUAUCAUCAACAUAAAUUAAAACCAAUAAUGUAAUGUUAGCUUGCUAAUAAAUGAACAAAUAGGUGUCUACUUUUGAUGCAGUGAAGCUAAGUGAGGUAAGGAAUGAAGUGAGGCUAUGAAACUAGGCCCUCGGAGCUUGUUUAAGGCCAUAUAGAGACUUUUUUUAAGUGGCAUACAAAAUCUAUAUUAGAAUAAUCAAUAUAGCCUAAAGGCUAUUCCAUAUAAAUUUCAUGGUCAGAAACCAUGUGAAAAGGCAUUUGAGAUGUAAAGCUGCAAUAGGUGCUAGCUGUACACUGUGGCAAGAGUUAAAACUCUUCUGACUAUUAUGAUUUUCAUAAUCGGAAUAAAAGUCUCAAUGUAAACAACACCGCUCUGUUGAGAAUAUCCCUUAGCCAUGUGAAAAGGUAAAUAAAUAAAUAAAUAUAUACACCAACCAUGUUUCCCAAGUUUUAUAUUUAUGAAGACAGUCAUAGACUGAUAGUAUGCAUCCAUCCUUUUCUUAUUGAUGAGAAAUAGAGGUGGUCCAGUGUUCCUCUCAUAUGUGUUAUUUCAAGGCAAAUUUCAAACAAGUCCUUGUAAUAGGACAAUAAAGUGCCAUAUUGAAACCUGAGCUAAAUACUGA
rnacentral:misc_RNA from 1 species